rnacentral:sRNA from 1 species
GCAGGCGACAGAGAAGCAUACGGCCAGGCCUCUCUCCAUACCGAGCCUUGCUGGACUCUCUACAGCUUGGUCCUGAUUCCCUCACGGUCCAUCUGAUCCAUGAGGUCACCAAGGUGUUGCUGGUGCUAGAGCUUCAGGGGCUUCAAAAGAACAUGACUCGGUUCAGGAUUGAUGAGCUGGAGGCUCGGCGACCCCGAUACCGUGUGCCAGAUGUUUUGGUGGCUGAUCCGCCAGUAGCCCGGCUUUCUGUCUCUGGUCGUGAUGACAACAGUGUGGAGUUAACCAUGGCUGAGGGACCCUACAAGAUCAUCUUGACAGCACAGCCAUUCCGCCUUGACCUACUAGAGGACCGAAGUCUUCUGCUUAGUGUCAAUGCCCGAGGACUCUUGGAGUUUGAGCACCAGAGGGCCCCUAGGGUCUCGUGAGUACAGGGGUUGGGACUGCAGGGAACCUAGUGUGAAAGAGCGUAGGGGUGUUGUGAGGUCUGGCACUGGGAGGAGACGGUGGUGGGACAGCCAGGUAGGGCCUGGGGGCUGGGAGAAGCUCUCUGUCAGGGAGGGUAGGAACCAGACCCGGGUGCAGUUUUUUCCAUUUCCUGUGCAGACCAGCAGGCAGUCACUUUUGUCCCUGAGCUGUACCCUGGGCAUCUCUGGGAGGCCUACCUGGGUCUG